UAUGCGUAUACCUAUCGUUUCGACCGUAAAAUUAUUGAUCAAAAUUAAAAUAAAAAUAUAUUGUAAUUUUUUGUUUGUAUUAUAACUUGUAAUUGUUAUAAUAAAUAAAAAUUGGGACUGUCUGACAAUAAAUUACCUUUUAGGAACAUGUAAUAAACAUUAGAUACCAUUAAGAAAAGAUUCCAUAAGACAUAUUUUUAUGACAAGACUGAGUGGUGAAUAAUUUGAGUGAUUAAAAAAUUUAUGAAAUAGUAUGAAUAUUUACAGUUUGUUUUAAUUAUUUAUUUAUAUUUUACACAAUGGCUGAAAAUAAAAAAUAUAUUCUUAGAAAACAUAUUGAAGACAAGGAACUUAAGAAGUAAAAAUUCGAAAAGAAAAUGAUGUGGAAAAGAAAUGCUGGUAUCGCUGAAAUUCACAUAGUUUCCUAUCACUAGAUGAUAUGUUAAUAGAACAAUAACAAUAUUUAUACAAAGUUCACUGUAUAUUUUUUCUAAUGAAUAAAAAGAAGCAAAGCUAUACACAAAACAAGUCUAUUAUUGUAGGAUACCUCAACAUAUGUCCAGCAACCUGGGAAUGAACAAUCAAACCUAAAGUUAUAAUUAUUAUUAUAAUGGCUUUCAAGUGUUCUGAUACAGUACAUUUUUUUAAUGUAACCAGCAAUCUAGAAGAUAUGAAGGAUAUUGAUCAGUAUGAUAUAGGUUACAGGCUAAAUUUAAUUUUGAAGGCAUAAAAGAGUAAACCCACAACCUAAAACAAAACAAACAAAUAAUAAGUGAAAAUCACAAUCACAAAAAUAUUUACACAAUUUUAUUAUGCUGAAAUGCAUGUAAAGUGGGUUAAAUAUAAAAAUAAAUAAAUUUUAAUGGGACUAGAUAAUUUAAUAGGGAGGAUUGGGCUAAUAGGAUGGAAGAGUUUGGGACAAGAAAACAAUAUGGGAUAUGGAAUGUAUGGCCUAUGAAGAGAAAACAAAGGACUCUUUACAAUGUUUGUUUCCUGAGAUGAAUAAAAUUAAGCUUUAGAUGAAACUUUCUAAAUAGAAGUCCAUGAGUGAUACUAUUGUUAGAGUUCAAUUCACAGUGUCGUGACCAACUCUUUUUCUCAAUCGCUAUUUUCUAGUUUAAAAUUCUUGAGUUCUAUUACUACCCACAUGCUGUGAACACACACACAGCAGUUUUAAUUAUGAAAAUAUUCAUAGUGUAAAGGCUUCGCAUUUGUACUCGACUCCAUCACAUGCACCUUUCUUUCGCGUAAAAUUCUGGUGACGGUGCGUUCAGACACUCCAACAGCCUGUGCGGUCCUCCAGCGUGCAUCAGUUAUUUUU